rnacentral:rRNA from 1 species
UACGUAGGGUGCAAGCGUUAAUCGGAAUUACUGGGCGUAAAAGCGUGCGCAGGCGGUGAUGUAAGACAGAUGUGAAAUCCCCGGGCUUAACCUGGGACCUGCAUUUGUGACUGCAUUGCUGGAGUGCGGCAGAGGGGGAUGGAAUUCCGCGUGUAGCAGUGAAAUGCGUAGAUAUGCGGAGGAACACCGAUGGCGAAGGCAAUCCCCUGGGCCUGCACUGACGCUCAUGCACGAAAGCGUGGGGAGCAAACAGG